AUCGCUGGCUUAUAUGCUAACUCUAUGUUUAACUUUUUGAGGAACUGCCAACUGCUUUCCAAAGCGACAGUGGAGAUUCUGUUUUUUAAGAAUCAGAUCCACGAAUUUUGGAUAUGUCACACGAUUGACUUUUUCGUCCUUUUCAACAGCUACAGAUUUCAAUGAGGACAAUAAAGGAGCAUAAGAUCGAGAGGUUUCACUGAGCACGGCUUUUUCAUCAAAGAAGAUUAUGUCAACAAUAUUUUAUGACUCCUGAUACUGUAACUUGAAAAAGUAAAUAGUGAAAGUACUCCGGAUAUGUUGGAAGUGCUUUUGCAACCUGGAGAAUACCUGAGAAGAGACACUGCCACUGUGGUACAGAAACUGUAUGCCAAUUCAGUUGGCAUACAGGGAGAAAUUGAAUUGACCUGGAUAUAUGGAAUCUUGGCAUGCACAGCAUAAACGCACUAGAAUAUAGGAUAGAAAGAUGGGAGGCAUCUGAGAUGAACUACCUUGAGGCUAUCAUUG